AUUCCAGCUCCAAUAGCGUAUAUUAAAGUUGUUGCAGUUAAAACGCUCGUAGUUGGAUUUCUGGGCUGGCGCAGUGGUCCGCCGCAAGGUUGGUACUGCCGGGCCGGCUCAUCUUCUCGAAGACUGUAUGCUCUUAACUGAGUGUGCAUGGAUUCGGGACCUUUACUUUGAAAAAAUUAGAGUGUUCAAAGCAGGCUUACGCUUGAAUACAUUAGCAUGGAAUAAUUGAAUAGGAUUUCGGUUCUAUUUUGUUGGUUUCUAGGACCAAAAUAAUGAUUAAUAGGGACGGUUGUGGGCGUUUGUAUUUCAUAGUCAGAGGUGAAAUUCUUAGAUUUUUGGAAGACACACAACAGCGAAAGCAUUCGCCAAGGAUGUUUUCAUCA
rnacentral:rRNA from 1 species